AUACAAAGAGAAGCGACCUCGCGAGAGCAAGCGGACCUCAUAAAGUAUGUCGUAGUCCGGAUUGGAGUCUGCAACUCGACUCCAUGAAGUCGGAAUCGCUAGUAAUCGUGGAUCAGAAUGCCACGGUGAAUACGUUCCCGGGCCUUGUACACACCGCCCGUCACACCAUGGGAGUGGGUUGCAAAAGAAGUAGGUAGCUUAACCUUCGGGAGGGCGCUUACCACUUUGUGAUUCAUGACUGGGGUGAAGUCGUAACAAGGUAACCGUAGGGGAACCUGCGGUUGGAUCACCUCCUUACCUUAAAGAA
rnacentral:rRNA from 1 species